UAAACCGUGUGCAUGUGAUACUUGGUAGGGGUUGUGUGUGCGGUGUUGUGGGGCCUGAUUGUGUGUCAUCUACCAGUGGCACGCCCUUUUUGCAUUGUUGUUAGGUGAAGUGGUUUGGAAUGGCCGACCGGAGUAGGUGAGAGUCCUGUAGCUGAAGGUGAUGAUGUGGGGGUUGUUGGGUUCCCGAGUAGCAACGGGCU
rnacentral:rRNA from 1 species